AAGCCCCAGUAAACGGCGGCCGUAACUAUAACGGUCCUAAGGUAGCGAAAUUCCUUGUCGGGUAAGUUCCGACCUGCACGAAUGGCGUAAUGAUGGCCAGGCUGUCUCCACCCGAGACUCAGUGAAAUUGAACUCGCUGUGAAGAUGCAGUGUACCCGCGGCAAGACGGAAAGACCCCGUGAACCUUUACUAUAGCUUGACACUGAACAUUGAGCCUUGAUGUGUAGGAUAGGUGGGAGGCUUUGAAGUGUGGACGCCAGUCUGCAUGGAGCCGACCUUGAAAUACCACCCUUUAAUGUUUGAUGUUCUAACGUGGGCCCCUUACCGGGGUUGCGGACAGUGUCUGGUGGGUAGUUUGACUGGGGCGGUCUCCUCCUAAAGAGUAACGGAGGAGCACGAAGGUUGGCUAAUCCUGGUCGGACAUCAGGAGGUUAGUGCAAUGGCAUAAGCCAGCUUGACUGCGAGCGUGACGGCGCGAGCAGGUGCGAAAGCAGGUCAUAGUGAUCCGGUGGUUCUGAAUGGAAGGGCCAUCGCUCAACGGAUAAAAGGUACUCCGGGGAUAACAGGCUGAUACCGCCCAAGAGUUCAUAUCGACGGCGGUGUUUGGCACCUCGAUGUCGGCUCAUCACAUCCUGGGGCUGAAGUAGGUCCCAAGGGUAUGGCUGUUCGCCAUUUAAAGUGGUACGCGAGCUGGGUUUAGAACGUCGUGAGACAGUUCGGUCCCUAUCUGCCGUGGGCGCUGGAGAACUGAGGGGGGCUGCUCCUAGUACGAGAGGACCGGAGUGGACGCAUCACUGGUGUUCGGGUUGUCAUGCCAAUGGCACUGCCCGGUAGCUAAAUGCGGAAGAGAUAAGUGCUGAAAGCAUCUAAGCACGAAACUUGCCCCGAGAUGAGUUCUCCCUGACUCCUUGAGAGUCCUGAAGGAACGUUGAAGACGACGACGUUGAUAGGCCGGGUGUGUAAGCGCAGCGAUGCGUUGAGCUAACCGGUACUAAUGAACCGUGAGGCUUAACCUU
rnacentral:rRNA from 1 species